GAAGUCCUUUCGACUCAGUGUCAGUAUCAGUCCAGGUGGUCGCCUUCGCCACUGGUGUUCCUUCCUAUAUCUACGCAUUUCACCGCUACACAGGAAAUUCCACCACCCUCUACCGUACUCUAGUCAGGCAGUUAUGGAUGCAGUUCCCAGGUUGAGCCCGGGGAUUUCACAUCCAUCUUACCAAACCACCUACGCGCGCUUUACGCCCAGUAAUUCCGAUUAACGCUUGCACCCUUCGUAUUACCGCGGCUGCUGGCACGAAGUUAGCCGGUGCUUAUUCUGUUGGUAACGUCAAAACAGCAAGGUAUUAACUUACUGCCCUUCCUCCCAACUUAAAGUGCUUUACAAUCCGAAGACCUUCUUCACACACGCGGCAUGGCUGGAUCAGGCUUUCGCCCAUUGUCCAAUAUUCCCCACUGCUGCCUCCCA
rnacentral:rRNA from 1 species